CAAUAGCGUAUAUUAAAGUUGUUGCGGUUAAAAAGCUCGUAGUUGGAUUUCUGCCGAGGACGACCGGUCCGCCCUCUGGGUGAGUAUCUGGCUCGGCCUGGGCAUCUUCUUGGAGAACGUAACUGCACUUGACUGUGUGGUGCGGUAUCCAGGACUUUACUUGAGGAAAUUAGAGUGUUCACGGCAGGCUAUCGCCCGAAUACAUUAGCAUGGAAUAAUAAGAUAGGACCUUGGUUCUAUUUUGUUGGUUUCUAGAGUCUGAGGUAAUGAUUAAUAGGGAUAGUUGGGGCCAUUCGUAUUUAACUGUCAGAGGUGAAAUUCU
rnacentral:rRNA from 1 species